GUCUGUCUCCUAAGCGCCCCACCAACAUGUGCUGUGGACGUCGCCUGAAUGAGCUGCUGGUCUCGGUGGGAGGGAAGAGAAGGCAAACAGGAAAUGGACCGCAUUGAAAUGCCAGCGUGUCGGGACGCGCCCACGGAGGCCCAGCGCAGCGUGUCCUCGGCGCUCAAAGGACGCUUCAGUCGGGGGAAGUUGGAAGCAGAAGCCGCGCUCUGAACAGGAAACGGUCGGCUGGGAUCGUAUUUACAGACUUUCCGCUUCCUGUCGUCAGCAGGGGGCUCGAGCUGCAAUGGGGCUCUGCUUCCAUCCGGCGUGCUUCCAAAGCCAGAGCGUGGAGGUCGUGCGUGCGCGGCAUGUCUGGACCUGUGGCUGCAGGUUGUGACUGAGCACCACACUGCAGCAUUUUUCGUCCUGACUUGAACUUGUCGGAAGUCGCCCUCACGACUUGGGAGCCGCGUCCACAAAGACGGCGCCAGGGAAGGACAGAGCGGCCCAACGACGGCGUUGGACCCACCCGCGAUGGGUGGAGAAGAGGGCCCGCCCUCCGCUUCAUCAACGGAUUCACUUCAACGCUUAAACGCACUCAACGGCCAACCAACGCUGCAAUGAAGCAGGAGAGUAAAUGUGAGGUUACUCGGAGCCCUCAGAAGCAUCUGAGCAGACAGGAGGAUAAAAACCCAUCUGCUGACGGGACGGACGCCACGCUGAGGUCAGCAGAUCAACGCCAGCUAACCGUCCCUCUCAGAACGCAGACCCAGUUCCUCACCGCUAACGUCUUCAGACAGGCCGGCUUUUUCCGGGGGGGGGGGUCAAUAUUCAUGACGGUACAUCACAGAAGCGUCGAUGAAACGAGAAGUUCCAGUAAACCAACUCCAUGGGGGGGGGGGGGGGCUGAUAUCCAGUCUGAUGAAGAAAAAGGUUUUCACACCUUAAAGCAGAACUGAAAAACGGCUUCACACUUCAGGGAACUAUUUGCGUUAUCAGGUUAUCUGCGGUCAUCUCUAUACAGGGAAACAGCUUUGCAUAUGAAAUGGAAACAUCUUUAUCUUGUAUUCUGGUGUUACUACUGGUGUACUAGUACUAGUGGUGUUACCACUAGUACUAGUACUAGUGCAGGACUCUUGGUGCACAAAGAAAAGCUUUAUGUUUCUGUAAGCAUCCGUUGUUUUACACAGUAUCCGGCUGUACAACAAGAGUCUGAGGGAGACGGAAUACUGUGACCCACAGAAGUGCUCAGGUCAGGGGGCCGGACCCCGACUCCCAUGAGCCUCAGCUGCCGUCGCCAUGGAGAAGGUGCAACUGUCAGAUGCACGUAAAACGGCUGGCGACGCUACGUUGGAAGUGAGAGCGCGUGAAGACUCUGCAGCUGCACGGCGCUCGUCUCCACAUCCGUGUGAUCUAAUGAGAAGCGACAGGCCUCCGUCUCCCAGAGAGACUUCCCAGAGCCGCCAACAAGGGGGGAACCGAGAGAGCGAAGACAGGCCUUAAAUGUGUAAUAAAUGAAUACUUGGCAAAUGUUGAGGGGGACAAAGACGGUGUGAAAGCGCCAUGUGAAAGAUGGCGAGUGAAUCGAUUAUUGAUCGGCGGGAUUUCAGAGCGCGUCACAUCAGACUGUCUUCCAUCAAUCCACAGGAGCGUGGAGCCAUCUGAGGCCUUGAUGAGUCCAUGCAGCGGAAAAGCUGCAGCAGCAGAAUACACGUGCAUACUUGCACAACCACGCUCUCCUAGUGUGUGUGUGUGUGUAAUAUAUCGGGGCAGUUAGUUAAAUCG
ensembl:lncRNA